AAAGUCGUAACAAGGUAACCGUAGGUGAACCUGCGGUUGGAUCAUUAACAAAUAGAGUUUUAGAACUCAAGCUAGUCUCGCUUCGGCAAGACUGGUAGACCCUCUGUGAACUGUUGCACCUUUACCGGUGUUUAUACUUUAUAAUGACUGAAUCAAUGAGAUUUUAAAAUUAAAAACUUUUAACAACGGAUCUCUUGGCUCUCGCAACGAUGAAGAACGCAGCGAAAUGCGAUACGUAAUGUGAAUUGCAGACCGUGAAUCAUCUAAUCUUUGAACGCAUAUUGCGCUCUCUGGUAUUCCGGAGAGCAUGCCUGUUUGAGAAUCGAUAAACAUAAUCACCCCUUUGGGAUGUACCCUGGUACUAACAUUGGGAUGGACUUGGGCGCUUAUCUUUACCGAUAAUGCCUGUAAAAUAGCGUCGACCUUGGCUUUAUUGUUACUUGGAACGUGUUUACUUGACUCUGGUCAUUUGUACUUUCAAUUAACGCUAAAAUAGAGUCUAGAGGCGACUGAUUAACAAACUCUGGUUUGACCUCUACACUAACGUGUAAACUUGGUCUCAAAUCAGGCAAGAGUACCCGCUGAACUUAAGCAUAUCAAUAAGCGGAGGAAAAGAAACUAACAAGGAUUCCCCUAGUAACGGCGAGUGAAGCGGGAAGUGCUCAAAUUUGAAAUCUCGUAGGCUUCCUGCGCGAAUUGUAGUUUAGAGAAAUGUUUUCGGGGGUAAACUAGGCAUAAGUCUCCUGGAACGGAGCAUCGUAGAGGGUGAUAAUCCCGUCUUUGGCCUAGCCUUUACUUCCAUGUGAUACAUUUUCAAAGAGUCGGGUUGUUGGGGAAUGCAGCCCAAAAUGGGUGGUAAACACCAUCUAAAGCUAAAUAAUGGCGAGAGACCGAUAGCGAACAAGUACCGUGAGGGAAAGAUGAAAAGAACUUUGAAAAGAGAGUUAAAUAGUACGUGAAAUUGUUAAAAGGGAAACGUUUGAAACCAGUAUUGAUGUCUGGUAUCUAGGUAGUCUCUGGACUGCUUAGCUCUGCCAGUCGUCAAGUCAACAUCAGUUUGACUUGGAGUAAACACUGCGAGGAAGGUAGCCUUCGGGUAUUAUAGCCUCGUAGCAUGCUUCGGGUUGGACUGAGGAUCGCAGUGCAGUCUUGGGGGAACCUGUCGCCUCUUGAAGGUAGGGUAUAGACUACUUGUAGACUAUGCUUUGCACUAGAGAGUACGGUGGGUGUACCACUCUUGCACUUAAGAUGUUGACGAAAUGGUUUUAAGCGAC
rnacentral:rRNA from 1 species